UUCUCCCCCGAUUUCUCCAUUAUAGUUCUGUCCCUUUUUCUCUUCAUAUUUGUCUUUAAUAAAAACUGAACCUAACCUUAAAUAAUCUUCAUAUUCAUCCUCUUCUUCAACUAGUGCUAGGCAGCGGCGGGGACAAUUGAUCUGGGGAAGGCUAACGUCGGAGCUAUUUGUGGCUUUUGGACAGCAGGCACGAUUGGAGGGUCGGAAGGCACUACGAUUGCAGAUGUUGAGGAAGCUAGCACACGACGUGGACGGGAUUUAUGGGAUUUGGGGAUUUUAGGUUUGAUUUGUGGAUUUGAGAUUUCUGGGUCUAAUUUCUAAGAUGGGAUUUCUGAUGUUAAAUUGAUUUAGAUUAUGGAUUUUUGAAGUGUUCAAGUGUGUCUUUUAGCUUGAA